AGUGAACGCUGGCGGUAGGCCUAACACAUGCAAGUCGAACGGCAGCACAGUAAGAGCUUGCUCUUACGGGUGGCGAGUGGCGGACGGGUGAGGAAUACAUCGGAAUCUACUUUUUCGUGGGGGAUAACGUAGGGAAACUUACGCUAAUACCGCAUACGACCUACGGGUGAAAGCAGGGGAUCUUCGGACCUUGCGCGAUUGAAUGAGCCGAUGUCGGAUUAGCUAGUUGGCGGGGUAAAGGCCCACCAAGGCGACGAUCCGUAGCUGGUCUGAGAGGAUGAUCAGCCACACUGGAACUGAGACGCGGUCCAGACUCCUACGGGAGGCAGCAGUUGGGAAUAUUGGACAAUGGGCGCAAGCCUGAUCCAGCCAUACCGCGUGGGUGAAGAAGGCCUUCGGGUUGUAAAGCCCUUUUGUUGGGAAAGAAAAGCAGCAGGUUAAUACCCCGCUGUUCUGACGGUACCCAAAGAAUAAGCACCGGCGAACUUCGU
rnacentral:rRNA from 1 species